rnacentral:tRNA from 2 species
UCCGGUAUGGUGUAUCGGCUAGCAUCCGUCGCUUUCAUCCUGAUGUCAGCUUCCGACGAGAGCCGGGUUCGAUUCCCGGUACCGGAA